CAUAUCCACAAGAUGCAAUCAUUGCGGAUGUAAAUUGUCGAAAGACAGUAGUAUCCGAGAGCGCAAAACCGUGUGGAUUCUUCCGUUGCCUUCCUUCUGACUCUGUCA
rnacentral:snoRNA from 1 species